rnacentral:tRNA from 1 species
GGACUGUAGCUCUGUGGUAGAGUGCUCGCCUAGUAUGUGUGAGGUUCUGGGUUUGAUCCUCAGCACCA